AUUGAACGCUGGCGGCAGGCCUAACACAUGCAAGUCGAGCGGAGCGGCGGACGGGUGAGUAAUGCCUAGGAAUCUGCCUGGUCGUGGGGGAUAACGUCCGGAAACGGGCGCUAAUACCGCAUACUAUCAGAUGAGCCUAGGUCGGAUUAGCUAGUUGGUGGGGUAAAGGCCUACCAAGGCGAUGAUCCGUAACUGGUCUGAGAGGAUGAUCAGUCACACUGGAACUGAGACAAGGUCCAGACGCCUACGGGGGGAAGCAGUGGGGAAGUUGGGACAAUGGGCGAAAGCCUGAUCCAGCCAUGCCGCGUGUAUGAAGAAGGCCUUCGGGUUGUAAAGUACUUUCAGCGGGGAGGCGUUACCCGCAGAAGAAGCACCGGCUAACUCCGUGCCAGCCGCCGCGGUAAUU
rnacentral:rRNA from 1 species